GGCWUCUUGUUGUUUAUAAAGAUAAGAAGUCCGGCCUGCCCGGUGAGGUUCUCCCUUUAACGGCAGCGGUAAAGUGCUUUAAUCGUAGCUCAAUUUCCUUGCCCUUUAAUUGUGGAGCUAUGUGAAUGGCAAGACGAGGGUUCGACUGUCUCGUUGCUGAUUAAAAUAAAACGGAGUGUGAGUGAAAAUACUCGCAUGGAUUAGAGGGACGAUAAGACCCCGUGGAGCUUUAGCAAUGGCUAGACAAAAUAGUUUAGUCUAAACUUAGGCUGGGGCAGCCAGAUGGGAAUGAAAAUACCAUACGAGAGACUUAAAAAGCGGGCGAGCUUUUAACGAUCCACUAGGUCAGUGAACGGCGGAACAAGUUACCCCGGGGGUAACAGGCUAAUUUCGCUCUGAGAGAUCCUAUUGAUGAGCGGGUUUGGCACCUCGAUGUUGGCUCNNNGUAUCCNNNNNNNCAGGAGUCUUUAAA
rnacentral:rRNA from 1 species